rnacentral:tRNA from 1 species
GGCUCCGUAGCUCAGCCUGGUCAGAGCACUGGACUUUUACAGCAGAACAAGUUCCGCUGUCCUUCAAAAAGGGACAUGAAUUCUUGUUUGAAGUAAUCCAGGUGUCGAGGGUUCAAAUCCCUUCGGGGCCA